UAAGAAAGAAAGAGAGAGACUAAGAAAGAAAGAAAGAAAGGCAGAAUGAGAAAAGAAAAGAAAGAAAGAAAGAAAGGAAGGAAGAAAGGCAGAAUUAGAGUAAGAAAGAAAGAAAGAAAGCAGCAGAAACCGAGUAAGAAAGAAAGAGAGAGACUAAGAAAGAAAGAAAGAAAGAAAGAAAGGCAGAA